rnacentral:RNase_P_RNA from 1 species
GCAGUGGGUGUAUCACUCCACCCUGAACCUUGGGGAAGGUCUGAGACAGGAGCCAAUCGCAAUCCUUGCAGGGCAUCCCCUGAUCUAGAGAAGCUGGGCCUCAGUGGAAUAUCUUUUAGGUUAGGGAACCAGCCCUGUGACUGGAAACUGCUGAAGUGCCCUUGAGCAAGACACCUAACCCCCAGUUGC